rnacentral:rRNA from 1 species
GACGAACGCUGGCGGCGUGCUUAACACAUGCAAGUCGAACGCAGUCCAUCCGGUGGCAACACUGGUGAAGACUGAGUGGCGAACGGGUGAGUAACACGUGAGCAACCUGCCCCGAAGACUGGGAUAAGCCUGGGAAACCGGGUCUAAUACCGGAUACCCCCACCGGGCCGCAUGACCUGGUGAGGAAAUGGAUUCCGCUUCGGGAGGGGCUCGCGGCCUAUCGGCUUGUUGGUGGGGUAACGGCCUACGAAGGCGUCGCCAGGUAGCUGGUCUGGGAGGACGAACAGCCACACUGGGACUGAGACACGGCCCAGACGCCUACGGGAGGCAGCAGUAGGGAAUCUUCCACAAUGGACGAAAGUCUGAUGGAGCAAGGCCGCGAGAGUGAUGAAGGUUUGCGGAUCGUAAAACUCUGUUGUAAGGGAAGAACACGUACGGGAGGGAAUGCUCGUACCUUGACGGUACCUUACGAGAAAGCCACGGCUAACUACGUGCCAGCCGCCGCCGUAACAC